GCCGUGAUCGUAUAGUGGUUAGUACUACACGUUGUGGCCGUGGUGACCCAUGUUCGAAUCCUUGGCCACAGCA